GAUGAACGCUAGCGGCAGGCCUAAUACAUGCAAGUCGAACGGAAUAUGAUUUUCGGAUUAUAUUUAGUGGCGCACGGGUGAGUAACACGUACAUAACUUACCCUCAAGAGGGGGAUAGCCUCGGGAAACUGAGCGUAAUACCCCAUAGUAUUAUUGAACGGCAUCGUUUGAUAAUUAAAGCUACGGCGCUUGAGGAUAGAUGUGCGUCUGAUUAGCUAGUUGGUAAGGUAACGGCUUACCAAGGCGACGAUCAGUAGGGGGCGUGAGAGCGUGGCCCCCCACACGGGUACUGAGACACGGACCCGACUCCUACGGGAGGCAGCAGUAAGGAAUAUUGGUCAAUGCCCGGAAGGGUGAACCAGCCAUGCCGCGUGAAGGAUGACUGCCCUCUGGGUUGUAAACUUCUUUUGGAUGGGACGAAAAACGGGAUUUAUCCUGGACUGACGGUACCAUCAGAAUAAGCACCGGCUAACUCCGUGCCAGCAGCCGCGGUAAAGUCUGUACU
rnacentral:rRNA from 1 species